GCGGCAGCGCCCGCAGCAGCAGGGAUCUCAGCCGCCCGCCCGGGAAAUUACACGCCCAGGAGCAGCCGGGAGAGCAAGCAGCCUUCGCGCCCUCCUCCGCCCCAGCAAAACCCCAGCAGCGACGCUCGAGCUCGAUUUUGCAUCUGAUUGGGUUUUUUUCCUGCCCCCCUCGAGGGUUCUCCCUUUUCCUGCCAGACUGACUCGCACCCUCUCGAUAAUUUAUCCCCCCCCGUCGGGUUUUUUUUUCUUCUCCUCUUCUCCCUGCUUCCAAACCCCGUGUCUGUGUGUUUUAACAACAUCACCACCUCUGCUUACAACCAACCAGCCAACCAAAACCCUUCCUCCUCUCUGACCCCAUCCAACACCCCUUGUUAAGGCCAGAAUUUCUUCAGACUCUGAAGGAAUUGGAGUGCAUGAGGAUCUAAUACAGUAGGGUGAAGGAUGUCAGAAAAGUCACAGCCUCUAUUCCUUUUCUGCUGAGGGAAAUCCCAGUCACAUUUUCUGUACUGAUUCUUAAUUGCUGCAAUCAUCCCUCUAUCCAUCAGCUGGAUUUUUGACAUUGUGUUUUUUGACGUAAUUAAUUACAACUUCAAAAGAUUUCUGCCUUAAGUGAGUGAACGGGUAGUUGCUGCAAGGAAGGACAGACAGCAGUUUCUUACACAUCACUGGGUCUUCUCACAAGUUGACUAAGUGAAAAAAUAAGAAACUGCUUUCAAGCAUUGAAGAUACUGGGCCAGGAUGAACACGAAGGACACAAAAGUGACUGAAGGAGGUCUCAAUGUCACACUUACCAUACGCCUUCUCAUGCACGGCAAGGAGGUUGGGAGCAUUAUUGGUAAGAAAGGGGAGACAGUAAAGAAGAUGAGGGAGGAGAGUGGUGCUCGAAUCAAUAUUUCAGAAGGUUCCUGUCCAGAAAGAAUUGUGACAAUAACAGGUCCAACAGAUGCAAUUUUUAAGGCUUUUUCUAUGAUUGCAUUAAAAUUUGAAGAGGUAAGCAAAUAAAAUACACUUUUUCUCUUUUCAAGUUGCAAUAUAAAUAUUGUCUCAGUUUUCUCAUGUUUGCUUUAAUGCUAAAUAUAAUUUGUUUAAUGCUCUAUUUAAUGGCAAUGAGAGUGGUUAUGUUUUUAAAAAUGCUUUUGGCAGUAAUACUGGAUGAGAAAUAAUGGGUCAAUUUACAAGCUGUUUGAUCAUUUCUUUUGCUUUUUGUAGACUUUAGGGAAAAGCAAUUGCUUCUAGUAAUGUGCUCUAAUGCUGAGAAAAGUGUCUUGGAAAUUUCUGGUCCCAUUGUGAAUUUGAUUUGAAACGAAUAAUUGCAUAACUUUUAACUCAGUUCCUGUGUGAAUCAGUUUGGUAGUCAUGUACAUUUUUUAAAUCAAAAAGAGUAUAGAUUUCAUUCAACUGGGAGAUUUAAAAAAAAAAGUAUAAGCAAAAUCUAUCAUUACCAAUUGCCAUAUUUAGGCUUCAGAGUUUAAAAUACAAUACAUUCACUGAAAAUAAAUAAGAGAGUUCUUCACUGUUAGACAUAUGUGAAUAUGUACAAAGACCCCAGGACUAUCAUUUUUCACAGGACAAGUUGCAUUAGACAUGCCUAGUGUUGGAAUGGGAAACCUCCAUGAAAGAUCUCAAAAGCUACCGAAAGCAGUUGGUGAUAUUAAUACAGUAGGAGUGCUCUUCUCUCUGCAUCAGUUUGACUAACUUGACAUUCCACCAUGGUGUUAGAAGGCGCCAUCUUUCAGAUGAGAUGUAAAACUAAGGCCUUGUCACGUGAUAAAUAAUAAUCUUGUAGCACUUUUCUUGAAAACCAGUUGGAUUUUGUGCCAAACCUCAACCUGGACGAUUACAUUCUGCCUACAUUCCCUAGUCAGUUUCAAUAUAUAUGAUUGCUUUCUGUAAACCUCCUGUGUGCUAUUAAAUAGUUGCCAUAUUCCAAGAGGUUUAUGAAACACUUUGAUAUCUUUUAUGAGGAAAGGGCUUAAUUAAGGCCCUAUCCUAGAAAGUCCUGAGGGAUACUUACAAGGAGUUGGUCUCUCUCAAUCCCCACUGGAAUCAGUGGAAACAUCCCUCGAAAAGCAUUCAGCACUGUACAGGAUUAGGACUUAUAAGAGAGACAUCAUUAAAUGUGUUGUACCUAUGAAAGGGCAAAAAUUUUGGAUUUCAGUAUUUGAGGUAUUGUAUUUAUUGACUCUCUUGUAUUUUACAUAAGAGGUUUGUAUCUUAAUGUGGCAGUUCUUAGUCAAAAAGGUCAUUUACAUUCAUUCCAGUUUACGGUAGCUGUGCAUUAUAUAUUAUAAAAUACCCACAUUUGCUUCAAAUGUAAUUUGCCAUGUUUAGAUUUAAUAGUAGGGCUCUAAUGAUGGCUGUAUCGUGCAACUAGUUCUGUUUGCUAUAAUUAUUUUGAAAGUUCCCCAUGGAUAAAAAUGGGCAGUCAGAGAACUAUAACUAUAAUCAGAAGCGUAACAAGUACUGUGUCUCAGAAAUUGCAAAUGAGCUAUAGAAAUAUCACAUGCUGCUAUUUUGAUAAUAUCACAGCUUUCUAGUUUACAUUUCUUCAGCCAGUCUUAAAAAAACAUAAAUAAGAAUAUUGUUUUUUGCAUUUCUCUAUAAAAUACUUUUAUUCUUCCUUUCAAUAACAACCCAGAUGUGUUGCUGUGUGGGAACAAAAUGAUCAAUUAGCCCUCAAGGCAUACAUCCUAUUUAGAGAAUAAACUGGCAGAAAUGUAAAGCACCCUAACUCUGGAUCUGAGGUUGUGCAAAUGUGCUUCUUCAGGCUAAAAUUGUACUAUGUGUCUAGUGUGAUAGAACAGAGAGAAAUGAGAGUUAUCCUUGUUAAAUGUUUGCUGCUUCAAAGUUUAUAAUCAUAAUGUAGAGUUUUUUGUAUGUAUUUGGGUCUGGGAGCCCCCAAAGAAUUGUUGUGGAUCCACUGCACUAAAUGUUGUCCAGAUAUGAAGUUACCAUGUAGUCCCUGUCCCACUGUGGUCAUCCCCAUAGCGUUGAGCUGCUGAAGAGUGGCAUUCUGGGAUUGGGAAAGAACAGGCUAUGCACAAGAGUGUGGCGGAUGAUUCCACGCAGUUAAAGAAUUCUGGGGCAGGGCCAGAUCCUGGCCCUGGUUGAGGAUGGUACAGUAAUCCCACUGUCAUUUGGCUGGAGGGUGAGCAAAUUGAAUCAUUAGUUCCACCAAGAGCAUGAAUAUUCUGUUAGCACAGUUUAACAUUCUUAGUAGCAUUUGUGUGUAAUUGCUAUUCAGACACCCAUCUAGUCCCUGCAGUUUCAGACCCUGAUAUUGGAAGGAGAAGUAAGAAGAAACUUCCCUGCUCAAUGGACUCUCCUCCUGUAGCCUUGAGAAAGGGGAUGAGUAUUAGAGGAUGGUGGGAUGAUAGGUGUGUCAGUAGCUGCUUUGUUUUGUUUAUCUUGAGUAGAUUGUGUCAGAAGAUGGCCACGUGUUCUCAUGUGACAAUUCAGCAUCAAGAAAAUAAAGGUGAAAAGGGUGAUAUUCAGUUCUGCUCAGUGUAACCUACACGCUUCCUUUUCUCAGUUCAUCUGUCAAAUCAAUAGAAGUUGCUGACUCACUGAGCUCUUCCUUUUUCAACGGAAGUACUUUUUUAAAAAUGAGCUUGCUAACUCAGGUAAGGUCACGCAUCCCUUAACACGGGAUGUAGCAGGUUUGACAUUAUUACAACCAUAUUAGCUGGUUGUGUUUGUAACCAGAGUUCCUCCAAAGCGUUCAUUUUAGCCAGCUAAUCCACAUUAAAAUACAAUUUGCCCUGUAUUCAGUAGAGUUAAAAUGUGUUUGCUAACACCU